AUGUACCCCCGUACACUCCGGUUUCUCCUGCCGUCCGCACCCAACUGACAGCUGCUCGCGACGUUAUUAGCC
rnacentral:sRNA from 1 species